rnacentral:rRNA from 1 species
UGGGGAAUAUUGCGCAAUGGGCGAAAGCCUGACGCAGCGACGCCGCGUGAGGGAUGAAGGUUUUUGGAUCGUAAACCUCUGUCAGAAGGGAAGAAACCGCACUGUGCUAAUCAGCAGUGCCUUGACGGUACCUUCAAAGGAAGCACCGGCUAACUCCGUGCCAGCAGCCGCGGUAAUACGGAGGGUGCAAGCGUUAAUCGGAAUUACUGGGCGUAAAGCGCACGUAGGCUGCUUUGUAAGUCAGGGGUGAAAUCCCACGGCUCAACCGUGGAACUGCCUUUGAUACUGCUUAGCUUGAAUCCGGGAGAGGGUGGCGGAAUUCCAGGUGUAGGAGUGAAAUCCGUAGAUAUCUGGAGGAACAUCAGUGGCGAAGGCGGCCACCUGGACCGGUAUUGACGCUGAGGUGCGAAAGCGUGGGGAGCAAACAGG